UCUAAUACCGGAUAGGACCACGGGAUUCAUGUCCUGUGGUGGAAAGCUUUUGCGGUGUGGGAUGAGCCCGCGGCCUAUCAGCUUGUUGGUGGGGUAACGGCCUACCAAGGCGACGACGGGUAGCCGGCCUGAGAGGGUGUCCGGCCACACUGGGACUGAGAUACGGCCCAGACUCCUACGGGAGGCAGCAGUGGGGAAUAUUGCACAAUGGGCGCAAGCCUGAUGCAGCGACGCCGCGUGGGGGAUGACGGCCUUCGGGUUGUAAACCUCUUUCACCAUCGACGAAGGUUCGGGUUUUCUCGGAUUGACGGUAGGUGGAGAAGAAGCACCGGCCAACUACGUGCCAGCAGCCGCGGUAAUACGUAGGGUGCGAGCGUUGUCCGGAAUUACUGGGCGUAAAGAGCUCGUAGGUGGUUUGUCGCGUUGUUCGUGAAAUCUCACGGCUUAACUGUGAGCGUGCGGGCGAUACGGGCAGACUAGAGUACUGCAGGGGAGACUGGAAUUCCUGGUGUAGCGGUGGAAUGCGCAGAUAUCAGGAGGAACACCGGUGGCGAAGGCGGGUCUCUGGGCAGUAACUGACGCUGAGGAGCGAAAGCGUGGGGAGCGAACAGGAUUAGAUACCCUGGUAGUCCACGCCGUAAACGGUGGGUACUAGGUGUGGGUUUCCUUCCUUGGGAUCCGUGCCGUAGCUAACGCAUUAAGUACCCCGCCUGGGGAGUACGGCCGCAAGGCUAAAACUCAAAGGAAUUGACGGGGGCCCGCACAAGCGGCGGAGCAUGUGGAUUAAUUCGAUGCAACGCGAAGAACCUU
rnacentral:rRNA from 7 species